rnacentral:rRNA from 1 species
UACAGAGGGGGCAAGCGUUGUCCGGAAUUACUGGGCGUACAGCGCGCGCAGGCGGUUGCCGACGUGCCGUGUGACAAACGGGGGCUCAACCCCCGAGGGCCACGGUAAACGGGGCGACUGGAGGUAGGGAGAGGGAUGUGGAAUGCCCGGUGGAGCGGUGAAAUGCGUAGAGAUCGGGAGGAACACCCGUAGCGAAGGCGGCACUCUGGGCCGGUACUGACGCUGAGGAGCGAAGGCGUGGGGAGCGAACGGG